AUUGAACGCUGGCGGCAUGCCUUACACAUGCAAGUCGAACGCGAAAGCGGGGGCAACCCUGUGAGUAGAGUGGCGAACGGGUGAGUAAUGCAUCGGAACGUGCCCCGUCGUGGGGGAUAACGAGUCGAAAGAUUCGCUAAUACCGCAUACGACCUGAGGGUGAAAGCGGGGGACCGCAACGGCCUCGCGCGAUGGGAGCGGCCGAUGUCCGAUUAGCUAGUUGGCUGGGUAAGAGCCCACCAAGGCGACGAUCGGUAGCUGGUCUGAGAGGACGGCCAGCCACACUGGAACUGAGACACGGUCCAGACUCCUACGGGAGG
rnacentral:rRNA from 1 species